rnacentral:rRNA from 1 species
UACAGAGGUGGCAAGCGUUGUUCGGAAUUACUGGGCGUAAAGCGCGCGUAGGCGGCUCGGCAAGUCGGGCGUGAAAUGCCGGGGCUCAACCCCGGGACUGCGUCCGAUACUUCCGAGCUGGAGGUAGGUAGGGGAGAUCGGAAUUCCUGGUGUAGCGGUGAAAUGCGCAGAUAUCAGGAGGAACACCGGUGGCGAAGGCGGAUCUCUGGGCCUUACCUGACGCUGAGGCGCGAAAGCUAGGGGAGCGAACAGG